UGCUGGAGGUAUCAGAAGUGCGAAUGCUGACAUAAGUAACGAUAAAGCGGGUGAAAAGCCCGCUCGCCGGAAGACCAAGGGUUCCUGUCCAACGUUAAUCGGGGCAGGGUGAGUCGACCCCUAAGGCGAGGCCGAAAGGCGUAGUCGAUGGGAAACAGGUUAAUAUUCCUGUACUUGGUGUUACUGCGAAGGGGGGACGGAGAAGGCUAUGUCAUCCGGGCGACGGUUGUCCCGGUUUAAGCAUGUAGGCUGGUUAUCCAGGCAAAUCCGGAUAAUCAAGGCUGAGGUGUGAUGACGAGGUACCACGGUACUGAAGUGACAGAUGCCCUGCUUCCAGGAAAAGCCUCUAAGCAUCAGGUAACAUCAAAUCGUACCCCAAACCGACACAGGUGGUCAGGUAGAGAAUACCAAGGCGCUUGAGAGAACUCGGGUGAAGGAACUAGGCAAAAUGGUGCCGUAACUUCGGGAGAAGGCACGCUGGUGUGUAGGUGAAGUCCCUGCGGACGGAGCUGAGACCAGUCGAAGAUACCAGCUGGCUGCAACUGUUUAUUAAAAACACAGCACUGUGCAAACACGAAAGUGGACGUAUACGGUGUGACGCCUGCCCGGUGCCGGAAGGUUAAUUGAUGGGGUUAUCCGUAAGGAGAAGCUCUUGAUCGAAGCCCCGGUAAACGGCGGCCGUAACUAUAACGGUCCUAAGGUAGCGAAAUUCCUUGUCGGGUAAGUUCCGACCUGCACGAAUGGCGUAAUGAUGGCCAGGCUGUCUCCACCCGAGACUCAGUGAAAUUGAACUCGCUGUGAAGAUGCAGUGUACCCGCGGCAAGACGGAAAGACCCCGUGAACCUUUACUAUAGCUUGACACUGAACAUUGAGCCUUGAUGUGUAGGAUAGGUGGGAGGCUUUGAAGCGUGGACGCCAGUCUGCGUGGAGCCAACCUUGAAAUACCACCCUUUAAUGUUUGAUGUUCUAACGUUGGCCCCUUAUCGGGGUUGCGGACAGUGUCUGGUGGGUAGUUUGACUGGGGCGGUCUCCUCCCAAAGCGUAACGGAGGAGCACGAAGGUUAGCUAAUCCUGGUCGGACAUCAGGAGGUUAGUGCAAUGGCAUAAGCUAGCUUGACUGCGAGCGUGACGGCGCGAGCAGGUGCGAAAGCAGGUCAUAGUGAUCCGGUGGUUCUGAAUGGAAGGGCCAUCGCUCAACGGAUAAAAGGUACUCCGGGGAUAACAGGCUGAUACCGCCCAAGAGUUCAUAUCGACGGCGGUGUUUGGCACCUCGAUGUCGGCUCAUCACAUCCUGGGGCUGAAGUAGGUCCCAAGGGUAUGGCUGUUCGCCAUUUAAAGUGGUACGCGAGCUGGGUUUAGAACGUCGUGAGACAGUUCGGUCCCUAUCUGCCGUGGGCGCUGGAGAAUUGAGGGGGGCUGCUCCUAGUACGAGAGGACCGGAGUGGACGCAUCACUGGUGUUCGGGUUGUCAUGCCAAUGGCACUGCCCGGUAGCUAAAUGCGGAAGAGAUAAGUGCUGAAAGCAUCUAAGCACGAAACUUGCCCCGAGAUGAGUUCUCCCUGAGACUAUAAGUCUCCUGAAGGAACGUUGAAGACGACGACGUUGAUAGGCCGGGUGUGUAAGCGCAGCGAUGCGUUGAGCUAACCGGUACUAAUGAACCGUGAGGCUUAACCUU
rnacentral:rRNA from 1 species